CUGGUGCCUAGUUCUCCUGCAGAACUUUCCCAUGCCACGAUACUGAAAACAAAAUGCACGGCGAACUGGGAGCUGUGAACUGGGUAUAUAGUCUGUGUGUAAUGCUGAAGGCUUGAUGCAUGGAAAGAUAUAAUAGGAAGCAGAUGUUCUUCUAAGGGACACCCUGGAGGCAGCAAGGUGGUGUGAACUGCAAACAUUUAAAGGCACUGUUUCCCUCCAUAGUGUAAUUGGGAUGGACGGGGAAGGCCGCAUUACAACACUUAAAGAAGUACGUUUGUAUGAUGGCCUGGAUGAAGAGGAACAUAUUAUCCUCUAGGAACCAUUCAUGUUCCAGUUACAGAGAGAUGAUUAGAUGUUCUAUGUGGAGGCAGUUGAUGUUCUAUGUGGAGGCAGUUGACAACAAGAAAAAUACUGUCUUUGCCUCUUUUGAGGAGCAGGAGUGAAGCCAUUUUUGAGGAGUGGUCAAACCUUGUUUUUGUCUGCUUUGUUAAUUGUGUUUAUGUUGUUUAGUAAAGAUGACUUAGAAGUCACCCGAGUCUCUGA